rnacentral:rRNA from 1 species
AAUAGAUACCCCGGUAGUCCACGCCGUAAACGAUGAGUGCUAGGUGUCGGAGGGGUCCACCCUGCGGUGCCGAAGUUAACACAUUAAGCACUCCGCCUGGGGAGUACGGUCGCAAGACUGAAACUCAAAGGAAUUGACGGGGACCCGCACAAGCAGUGGAGUAUGUGGUUUAAUUCGAAGCAACGCGAAGAACCUUACCAGGUCUUGACAUCCCUCUGACCGGUCUAGAGAUAGGCCUUUCCUUCGGGACAGAGGAGACAGGUGGUGCAUGGUUGUCGUCAGCUCGUGUCGUGAGAUGUUGGGUUAAGUCCCGCAACGAGCGCAACCCUUGACUUUAGUUGCCAGCACUUCGGGUGGGCACUCUAGAGUGACUGCCGGUGGCAAACCGGAGGAAGGCGGGGAUGACGUCAAAUCAUCAUGCCCCUUAUGACCUGGGCUACACACGUACUACAAUGGCCGGUACAACGGGCUGCGAAGGAGCGAUCUGGAGCUAAUCCUAUCAAAGCCGGUCUCAGUUCGGAUUGCAGG